GUGCUCACUUCAGCAGUACAUGUAGUAACGUUGGUGCGAUACAGAAGAGAUUAGCAUGGCCCUGUGCAAGGAUGAUGUGCAAAUUCUUGAAGCGUUUCUUUUCUUU
ensembl:snRNA LOC120096099 U6 spliceosomal RNA